rnacentral:rRNA from 1 species
ACGGGUGAGUAACACGUGGGUAACCUGCCCUGUACUCUGGGAUAAGCCUUGGAAACGAGGUCUAAUACCGGAUACGACCUUCUUCCGCAUGGUGGAGGGUGGAAAGUUCCGGCGGUAUGGGAUGGACCCGCGGCCUAUCAGCUUGUUGGUGGGGUAAUGGCCUACCAAGGCGACGACGGGUAGCCGGCCUGAGAGGGUGACCGGCCACACUGGGACUGAGACACGGCCCAGACUCCUACGGGAGGCAGCAGUGGGGAAUAUUGCACAAUGGGCGAAAGCCUGAUGCAGCGACGCCGCGUGAGGGAUGACGGCCUUCGGGUUGUAAACCUCUUUCAGCAGGGACGAAGCGCAAGUGACGGUACCUGCAGAAGAAGCACCGGCUAACUACGUGCCAGCAGCCGCGGUAAUACGUAGGGUGCGAGCGUUGUCCGGAAUUAUUGGGCGUAAAGAGCUCGUAGGCGGUUUGUCGCGUCGGCCGUGAAAACUUGGGGCUUAACCCCAAGCCUGCGGUCGAUACGGACAGACUUGAGUUCGGCAGGGGAGACUGGAAUUCCUGGUGUAGCGGUGAAAUGCGCAGA